GACGAACGCUGGCGGCGUGCCUUACGCAUGCAAGUCGAGCGGGGUACAGGGCUUCGGCUCUGUACCUAGCGGCAGACGGCUGAGUAACACGUAAGCAACCUGCCCUCCAGUGGGGAAUAACCCCUCGAAAGAGGGGCUAAUACCGCAACGUUCCCGGAGGGGAGUUCUCCGGGAGGAAAGCCUUCGGGCGCUGGAGGAGGGGCUUGUGGCCUAUCAGGUAGUUGGUGGGGUAACGGCCUACCAAGCCUACGACGGGUAGCUGGUCUGAGAGGAUGAUCAGUCAGACGGGGACUGAGACACGGCCCCGACUCCUACGGGAGGCAGCAGCGAGGAAUCUUGCGCAAUGGGCGAAAGCCUGACGCAGCAACGCCGCGUGGGGGAAGAAGGCUUUCGAGUCGUAAACCCCUUUUGCAGGGGAAGAAGAUCUGACGGUACCCUGCGAAUAAGCCACGGCUAACUACGUGCCAGCAGCCGCGGUAAUACGUAGGUGGCAAGCGUUGUCCGGAUUUACUGGGCGUGAAGGGCGUGUAGGCGGUCUAUUAAGUUCGGGGUGAAAUCUCUCGGCUUAACUGGGAGCGGCCCCCGGAUACUGAUGGACUAGAGGGGGGUAGAGGAAGGCGGAAUUCCCGGAGUAGCGGUGAAAUGCGUAGAUACCGGGAGGAACACCGGUGGCGAAGGCGGCCUUCUGGGCCUACCCUGACGCUGAGGCGCGAAAGCGUGGGGAGCAAACCGGAUUAGAUACCCGGGUAGUCCACGCCGUAAACGAUGGACACUAGGUGUGGGGGGUAUCGACCCCCUCCGUGCCGAAGCUAACGCGAUAAGUGUCCCGCCUGGGGAGACGGCCGCAAGGCU
rnacentral:rRNA from 1 species